rnacentral:rRNA from 1 species
UACGGGGGGGGCAAGCGUUGUUCGGAAUUACUGGGCGUAAAGGGCUCGUAGGCGGCCAACUAAGUCAGACGUGAAAUCCCUCGGCUUAACCGGGGAACUGCGUCUGAUACUGGAUGGCUUGAAUCCGGGAGAGGGAUGCGGAAUUCCAGGUGUAGCGGUGAAAUUCGUAGAUAUGGGGAGGAACACCGGUGGCGAAGGCGGCCACCUGGACGGUAACUGACGCUGAGACGCGAAAGCGUGGGGAGCAAACAGG